UACGUAGGGGCAAGCGGUUGUUCGGAAUUACUGGGCGUAAAGGGCGCGUAGGCGGCAAAUUAAGUCAGCUGUGAAAUCUCCGAAGCUUAACUCGGAACUGUCAGCUGAUACUGAUGUGCUAGAGUGCGGAAGGGGCAAUCGGAAUUCUUGGUGUAGCGGUGAAAUGCGUAGAUAUCAAGAGGAACACCUGAGGUGAAGACGGGUUGCUGGGCCGACACUGACGCUGAGUGCGCGAAAGCCAGGGAGCAAACGGG
rnacentral:rRNA from 1 species